rnacentral:lncRNA from 1 species
CUUAAUUGUGACCAAGCUCUGGCUGUACCACCCAACUUUAUUGGUUUUAGAACAGACUGAAAUUUGCUUACUUUCUUAAAGUCUCUGUGGUUCAGACAGUGUAAUAUGCUUGAGUUCUUCCGGCCUCUGGGGAAAACCUAUACCCACUUGAAUUAAAUAAAAGAAAACUACCCUUCAACAUAAUCCUAAAUGAGAAGUAAGAGGCAUAUAUUCACGUUUCAGACAUGGUUGGGAACAUAGCCACACAUUCUGCUGUCAUCUUUCCUUUAAAGUAUGGAGCCUAGUUCCCUCCAUUUGUGUGUAGGCUGGGCUCUGUGACUCCUUCUAGUGAGUAGAAAGAGAUAAAGUGCUUACAGGUGUGUGUUGGACCUGCCUAGAAGCAUAUGAUUUCUCCUUUUAUUACAGGCUCAGAAUUACUCACUCUGGGGGAGGUCAGCUGCCAUACUGGGAGGACACUCAAGCAGCCCCAAGAAUGGAGGCCUCUGACAGAGCCACAUGAGAUGUCUGCGGUGAGUUGGUGAGUCCAGCAGCCCCAGGCGAGCCUUUGGAGAACUGUGAUCUCAUCCAGCAUCUUGUGCUCAAUCUCGGGAGAGAUCCUGAGUCUGUCUCUUUUCCCAGCUGAGCUGCACUGGGAAUUCCUGCAAUCUAUGGGCAUUCUUGACCCAUAGAAACUGUGAGAUCAUAUAACUUUUCUGUUUUAAGCCACACUAAAUUUUGAGGUAGUUUGUUACAGAUGGGAAAAGCUGAUGCUAUUGAAAGACAGAGCUGUAAAUGGAAAUCCUAGGAAUUUAUUCUCAUUGUCUUGACAGUGCAUGUUUAGAUUUUUGGAAGGACAUGCACAUGCAUAUAUCAUGUAUUGACUGAAGUUAGUAUUGUGUGAAAACCUGAGGGUAUGUGUUUCUGAAGGUUAUUUCAUCUCUCCAUCUUCUUGUUAGUCUCAUCACUAUGUUUGCAUUUCCAACAAGAGACACAUACGUUUUUCAGGCAGUAAUCACAGACACCAUGUAUCCUAUGUGGUUGAGGGCCAAAAGAAAUAUAGUAGUACCUUUCUAGCCAUAAACAAUAACAGACAAAUGGGGACCAUUUUGCAUGAAGGAAUUCAGAGAAGUACAGGAAUCACCUUUUAAAAAUAUAAUUCAGCCAAAUAUUUUUAUUCAGUAGGAAUGAAAAUGUCUUGUAAUUCUUGACUUUUUUUUUUUUCUCAUUUCUCAUUUCUCUCCACCUUUGGGUGAUCCUCAUUGUUUCUAAUUCUGUGUUGUUUAGAUCAUUUUAGCAGAUGGUAACCAACUACCAGACAGAUCUCAAAUUAAUAGCAAAUAGUAAGAUUUCCUUGGAGGCAUUUUGCCAAGCCCCCUCAACCUCAAACUGAUGACUCUGAAUGUAUGUUGGGUGUGGGAUGGGGAGGGAUGGAUGGAGGUUUCUGGGUAAUGCAAGAUAUUUUAGAACUCGGUUUUUAAAAACAUUACAUGGUAAUUCUUGUCCAGUAUAGAAAAAAAUUAAAAAUUUAGAUGAGCCAAGGGAAGAUAAUACAAAUUACAAUCACACAAGCUAAAGAUAAUUGAUAUCAAGAUGUCAAGCUGGUCAUGGAGAGGAGCACCUGGUUGAGGGCAGGUCAGGUUGAACUCCUGGGACUUGAGGCUGCCUGGGGAAGGAGGAGCACCAGACCUUUCUCUAAAAGACAACAUGAUGUAUAGAACUAGUGGAAACUCUGAGCACUUGCUAACAUUUCACUGCAUAUAGCCAUCUAAGUUUUCAUCUAUGUAUUGUGUAUUUACUUCAGCAGAUAACUUUAGCCUAUCAAGAUAGAAUAAUGCCCACCAUACUGUUUGACAAUCAGCUUUAUUUCCUUUAAGAAUACAUUACAUGGGGCUGGGGAUGUGGCUCAAGCGGUAGCGUGCUCGCCUGGCAUGCAUGCGUCCCGGGUUCGAUCCUCAGCACCACAUACAAACAAAGAUGUUGUGUCAGCCAAAAACUAAAAAAGAAAUAAAUAUUAAAAUUCUCUCUCUUUCUCUUUAAAAACAUUACAUGGGCUAGGGUUGUGGCUCAGUAGUAGAGUGCUUGCCUAGCAUGUGGGAGGCACUGGGUUCGAUUCUCAGCACUAUAUAUAAAUAAAUAAAAUAAAGAUCCAUUGAUAAUUUUAAAAAAAAACUUUUAAAAAUAAAUUAUAUAUUUUUCUGUAUUAGUGAAUAAAUAUCUGUUUAAUUACAAGGGCCACAUAAUAAACCACUGUAUAAAUGAGUACUCAGUCUAUAAUAAGUAUUCCCAUUGCUAAUAGGAGGAAAGCAGAGAUUAGAAAUGCUGGAUUAUAGGACGUGCUUUUUGAGGCUUUUGAUAUAUUUUGUCCAGUUACCUUCAAAAAAUCUAUGUUGAUCUGCACUCACAUUGCCUGUGUUUUGAAGUGGACAUACAACUCUAAUUUUAUCAAUCUUUCAGCACUCUUUGUUUGUUCCACAUUUUAAGCAAUUGCAAGCGCACACAUCACAGUGGUCCUCCAAACAACACAACAUCAUCUUGACUCAUUGGUUAGACAGAAAUUCUACUGCUUUGGGAUUAAAAGAGCUUCUCCUCUUAUCUGUUCUUUUGCCCAUUUUAUCUGUGAAGGAAAACUCGGCUUAGAGAAGUUAGAUAAAUCUUUCCCAAAUCUGAAUCCAAGCUUAAGGUGAUUGACUCCCAACCCCAGGAGCCUGACUUCUAUGCCCCAUUGUGUCUGGUCUCUCAUAUGUUCCUAUCUCCUCCCCACCUGCCCAAGAUACAUCAGGAGCUUCCAGUAUGAGCCCUGGCCCCCUGGCCCCUAUUAUUAUGCAAGCUUCAACCAUUUCCCUUGAUCCUAUUGGACAGGUUCACUUGAAACACUCUAUAUUUCAAAGCAGCUAGAAGAUUUUGAAUAGUUUCAACACAAAAUGACAAAUGCUUCAGAUGAUAGAUAUAUUAUCAUGAUUUGAUCUGUACUCAUUGUAUACAUGUAGUAAAAGAUCACAUGCUCCCUCAUAAAUAUGUACAAUUAUCAUAUGUUAAUUAAAGAAAAUAAAAUUAAGAAGUUAAAAAACCCCACUAUAAUUAGAUUUACUUAAAUUUUUUUUUGUUAGUUGUAGUUGGACACAAUACCUUUAUUUUAUUUACUUAUUUUUAUGUCGUGCUGAGGAUCAAACCCAGCACCUCCCAUGUGCUAGGAGAGCGCUGUACUGCUGAGCCAUAACCCCAGCCCUGAUUAGAUUUACUUUUAAUGCAUAGAAUAUUAGAGGCUUCUGAAGGCAAAUACUCUUCAAUCUUGUAGACAUUAAACACAGAUAUUUUUUGAUAUGGAUUUUGGUAUAACAUAUCUAUGAUACACAUGGAUGUUCUAUGAGAAAGAAAUCCCUGGUAACUAGGCCUUUUCUGUUGCUGUGACAGGGUCACACAUGCUACAAAUGAAUAGAAGUGUUCUCUUUGUUUUCUUUUCUGGCUCUGCAAACAUGCUGGGGGUGGGGGGAUGGGGAGCCUCUUUCAAAAGAAUCUACUACUCUGGUUUUUGGUACUUGUGUCUUCACUUCCAUGCAGUGUUAGUCACGUAGUAAAAGGCACAUCUGUGUAGGGGCUUGAGCAUCUGCCAGCUAAUGCACUCAGACAAUUUAAAUGACUUCACGUUAUUCCACUUUCAGGAUGUAGCCCCAAACUGUCACGGCUGGGACAAGAAGGAAAACCCGACCCUGCGGCAGAUGACUUUGACAGCGAUGCCUCACAAGGACGUGUGCCUGCAGAAUUAAAACAGGGUUAUGUUGACACUUUCUAGGCAUAGUUCCUACCUGUUUCCUUCACUUGUUUUUUUUUUUUUUUCCUUCCAAAUCUCCAAGUUUCUUUAAGAGAUCCCAGGAAGUGGGAUAUUACCAGUGGCAUGGGGAGUCAUGGAAGUUAAGGAAGGAGUUGGCUGCACACCUGUGUUCUCCAUGUUUUUGCUGCUACAGCAUCCUGGUCACUACUGCUAAGAUCACUGGUCUGGAUGCUGUGUCCCUCCAAAAUUUACAUGUUGAAAUGUUACCACUAAGGUGGUGGUUUUAGGAAGUGGGGACUAUGGGAGGUGGUUAAGUCCAGGGUGGAACCCUCAUGAAUGGAGUUACUUUUCUUAUAAAAGAGGCCACAGGGAGCUGCUUCACCCCUUCUGCCAUGUGGGUGAAACAGAGUAGGUGCCAUCUAUGAAAUAGGAAGUGAGCUUUCCCCAGACCCAGCAUCUGCCAGCACCUGAACCUUGGGCUGCCAGUCUGAAGAACUGUGAGAAAUAAAUUCCUAUUGUUCAUAAA